rnacentral:rRNA from 1 species
GCUCAGGACGAACGCUGGCGGCGUGCCUAAUACAUGCAAGUCGAACGAACUCUGGUAUUGAUUGGUGCUUGCAUCAUGAUUUACAUUUGAGUGAGUGGCGAACUGGUGAGUAACACGUGGGAAACCUGCCCAGAAGCGGGGGAUAACACCUGGAAACAGAUGCUAAUACCGCAUAACAACUUGGACCGCAUGGUCCGAGCUUGAAAGAUGGCUUCGGCUAUCACUUUUGGAUGGUCCCGCGGCGUAUUAGCUAGAUGGUGGGGUAACGGCUCACCAUGGCAAUGAUACGUAGCCGACCUGAGAGGGUAAUCGGCCACAUUGGGACUGAGACACGGCCCAAACUCCUACGGGAGGCAGCAGUAGGGAAUCUUCCACAAUGGACGAAAGUCUGAUGGAGCAACGCCGCGUGAGUGAAGAAGGGUUUCGGCUCGUAAAACUCUGUUGUUAAAGAAGAACAUAUCUGAGAGUAACUGUUCAGGUAUUGACGGUAUUUAACCAGAAAGCCACGGCUAACUACGUGCCAGCAGCCGCGGUAAUACGUAGGUGGCAAGCGUUGUCCGGAUUUAUUGGGCGUAAAGCGAGCGCAGGCGGUUUUUUAAGUCUGAUGUGAAAGCCUUCGGCUCAACCGAAGAAGUGCAUCGGAAACUGGGAAACUUGAGUGCAGAAGAGGACAGUGGAACUCCAUGUGUAGCGGUGAAAUGCGUAGAUAUAUGGAAGAACACCAGUGGCGAAGGCGGCUGUCUGGUCUGUAACUGACGCUGAGGCUCGAAAGUAUGGGUAGCAAACAGGAUUAGAUACCCUGGUAGUCCAUACCGUAAACGAUGAAUGCUAAGUGUUGGAGGGUUUCCGCCCUUCAGUGCUGCAGCUAACGCAUUAAGCAUUCCGCCUGGGGAGUACGGCCGCAAGGCUGAAACUCAAAGGAAUUGACGGGGGCCCGCACAAGCGGUGGAGCAUGUGGUUUAAUUCGAAGCUACGCGAAGAACCUUACCAGGUCUUGACAUACUAUGCAAAUCUAAGAGAUUAGACGUUCCCUUCGGGGACAUGGAUACAGGUGGUGCAUGGUUGUCGUCAGCUCGUGUCGUGAGAUGUUGGGUUAAGUCCCGCAACGAGCGCAACCCUUAUUAUCAGUUGCCAGCAUUAAGUUGGGCACUCUGGUGAGACUGCCGGUGACAAACCGGAGGAAGGUGGGGAUGACGUCAAAUCAUCAUGCCCCUUAUGACCUGGGCUACACACGUGCUACAAUGGAUGGUACAACGAGUUGCGAACUCGCGAGAGUAAGCUAAUCUCUUAAAGCCAUUCUCAGUUCGGAUUGUAGGCUGCAACUCGCCUACAUGAAGUCGGAAUCGCUAGUAAUCGCGGAUCAGCAUGCCGCGGUGAAUACGUUCCCGGGCCUUGUACACACCGCCCGUCACACCAUGAGAGUUUGUAACACCCAAAGUCGGUGGGGUAACCUUUUAGGAACCAGCCGCCUAAGGUGGGACAGAUGAUUUAGGUGAGUCGUACAGGGGGAAA